AGCUGACCUCUACAAUUUACAAGAGAAUCUCCAGAGGAGGUUGCCAAGCUCCAGCUCCUCUCUCUUCAGCGCGAGGACAUGGGGGAAAGGAGACAUUUAUGAAUCUCUUUGAGUCUCAGUCUUUUCAUUUCUAAAAUUGCAUUAAUGAAAGCCUUUCUGAAAAUCGUGUUGUGAGGAAGGACAUGAGGUUUGGCACUCAGGAGGCGUUCAGUAAACGUUGGUUAUACUGUUGUUAGAAUGAGAGAAAGCAAAAGGGAGGCGCACGCAAAACAGUAAAGAAGAGAGAAAAGAAACAGGAAAGAAAACAGCAUCUGUGGACUCCAGAAGCGCCCAGAGCCCCCACUCUCCCUCGCCCACCUGAGCACUCACCCCUGAUGACCUGGGUUCCGGGAGGCUCAGCAGGGCAGCCAGGGCCGUGGCUCGCAGGAUCCUGGCACUGCCCUGGCUCCUUCAGUCUUCAGGGUGCAUCGGCAAUGGCCACUGUGCGCCAGACCCGGAGGAGAAAAUGAGGCGGUGCAGGGAAGGAGGAGCUCCGAAUCCAGCACUCCUUUCCCCACCCCUGUCCAGGGAGAAAGGCUGGAGAUGAAACAGGCUGAUUGGGCUCAACCAACCAGAAUACAUCAGAAGGGAUGCCUCUGUGGCUGGGGAAGGAAGAUGCUGGAGCUGCCGGGAAGAAGUGAGAGAAUUCUCAGGCACCAGCAGGACCCAGAAAGCCCCUGCCUACUGCAGAGCGUGGGGCAAGGAGUGGGACCAUUACUCCUGGCGUUCCCAGAUGGAACAGACACCAAGCCUGGCUUUGCCACUGAACACAAUACAAAACUGAUAAUGCAGGUCAGUUAUUAGGAAUAUGCUUCCCAACUGUAGAAAUCAACAUAAGAUCCCAAUUUUAAAUAACAGGUAGAAUAG
ensembl:lncRNA